GAGGGCAGGCGGCGGGGCUGCAGGGGAGGGAGGGAGGGCGGGGGCCGGGGGCCGCGGAGCUGGGCGGGAGGCGGAGCGGCGGCGGCGGCGGCGGCGGCGGGAGGAGGGAGGCGGCGGGGGGGAGGGGGGGGGAGACUCUACGUGUGGAAUCGGAUCUCGGCUACAAAUUCAUCAUCACCAGAGAAAACUCCGCUCGGGCGGGGGCCUGGGGCGCCGGCGAGGGCGGGCGGCGGCGGGGGCGGCGGGCGGAGGCUCUGGGCCCCGGCGGCCUGGCGCAGGUCGGGGCUCUGUGGCCUCCCUCGGGCCGCCGCGCCGCGCCGGGGGCCUCGCCGCCGCCUCCCUGCCCCCUCCUCUCCCUGGGGCCGCCGCGGAUCGUUUCUCGCCGCCGCGGGGCUUGUUGUUGACUUUGAGGAAAACUCCUGACGUCAGGGGUUGGCGCUCGGCGACUGGCGGGAGCGGCUUCCCCGCGUCCGAGCCGGCCCGCUGCCUCUGCCCCCUCCCUCGGGCCCUCGUUCACGGGCUUCCCUGCGCCCCCAAGUCCGCGGCGGCCCGCGCCCCCUCUCCUCUCGCGAGAACACCCCCCAACCGGAGCGUGGAGCAGGGCGUCGUCCUGGGCGGGAAGUUAUGGGUUUUCCCCCGCGCCCUCGUGGCCCGUGGCAGGCACCCGAGGCCCGGGAGCGGAGGCUCGCUGCCCUCCUCCGCGCGAGGCCGGGCCUGGGGCUUCUUCUCCGGCCCGCCACGCCUCCGGGGAGGUCGGGUCGGGCUCGUGAGGGGCCGGGACCUGAGGCCCUCGAGGUGGGCGGUGCCAUGUGGAGACGCGACCCUGAGAGCUUGGAGCUGGGCCGGAACCGACCCCACCCCUCAACACCUCUGGGGUCAGUCCAAAGCCUGGCACGGUUGCUGACUCCCGGGAGACCUUACCGUCCAUUCCAAGAACACCUCUCGGAAGGCCAUCUCAGAGCUUCCUACAGGGCCAUCCUGAAUUUAGCAGACUCUGCCAAUUGUUGUAUGAUGGUACUCCACACAGAGUGUAUGCUGAUUUCUCCUCUUCAUUGUCAUCACAUUCCAAUAAUAUGGAGAGCAACAGGACAGGAAUGUCCCUCCUUGGAGAGAAAACCCUCAUUCUUUGCUAAGCCAGGCCAUUCUCUCCCUCUUGGUUCUGCCACAGAAGUAGUACAGCCGCUAAUUUCCCAGUGUCCACAGAAUACCCUCACUGAGGGAACUGACACAUUCCAAGCCCUUUACAAGAUCCCACGGAAGCCCAUGGAAGCCUUCUGGCAUGAGCUGAAGAAGCAUCUUCCAUCCCCUCCCAGUUGGAGAAGUGACUUGCCUAUGGACAGACAAGGGACCCUGUUCUACCAGGAAGAUUCAAGGGAAUAACUAGAGAGGGUUUCUCUUCCUGAAUAAGAGGGAGCCUAGCAAGGACAAAACUCGCGCAUCUGCCCUUUCCUCCUUGCUGGAAUGCCAGUGAGAGAACCGAUGCCUGAAGCUUUGCUAGCCAACCCUGGUCUCCGAUCUGACAAAUAUGAGAAUGCAGAGCCAAUGCACAGAGGUGGUGGAAUAGAAGAAUGGAAAGAGUUUGGACCCUCGAGGGUAUCUUCCAGCUGCUGAACUGCGCUGAAGCCACCCAUCCUUCUAGACUCUUGUGAGACCAACAGUUAGGCCAUGGCUGAUUGUUUUUUCCUCAUGCUCCAACUCAUCCUAAGGGAUACACC
rnacentral:lncRNA from 1 species